GACGAACGCUGGCGGCGUGCUUAACACAUGCAAGUCGAGCGGAGCGGCGAACGGGUGAGUAACGCGUGAGUAACUGCCCCCCUCUCUGGGAUAACAGUUGGAAACGGCUGCUAAUACCGGAUAGUGGGGGAUGACUCGCGUCCUAUCAGCUUGUUGGUGGGGUAGUGUCAUACCAAGGCGACGACGGGUAGCCGGCCUGAGAGGGCGACCGGCCACAAUGGGCUGCGGUACGGUCCAAACGGCAACGUGAGGCAGCAGUGGGGAAUAUUGCACAGUGGGGGAAACCCUGAUGCAGCAGCGCCGGGUGCGGGAUGACCGUUUUCGGGUGGUAAACCGCUUUCAGCUAUGACGCGGUAGUGGCAGAAGAAGCACCGGCUAACUACGUGCCAGCAGCCGCGGUAAUUC
rnacentral:rRNA from 1 species